AUGAACGCUGGCGGCGUGCCUUAAGCAUGCAAGUCGAACGGGUUUUUGAGUCGCAAGAUUUUAAUUCCAGUGGCGGACGGGUGAGUAUAAGCAAGGAACGUACCCUUUACUGUGGCAUAGCUCGUCGAAAGACGGGGUAACACCGCAUGACCCCUUACGGGGAAAACAUUUAACCGUGUGGUAAAGGAGCGGCCUUGUACCUAUCAGCUAGUUGGCGGGGUAAAAGCCCACCAAGGCUACGACGGGUAGGGGGCGUGAGAGCGCGACCCCCCACAAUGGCACUGAGAUACGGGCCAUACAUCUACGGAUGGCAGCAACUGGGAAUCGUUGGCAAUGGACGAAAGUCUGACCACGCGACGCCGCGUGAGGGAUGAAGGCCUUCGGGUCGUAAACCUCUUUUGAGCCGCCAUGAAGGCGGCUAGAAUAAGCAUCUACAAACUACGU
rnacentral:rRNA from 1 species